rnacentral:lncRNA from 1 species
ACCAAAACCCUUCCCAGAACCCCCCCUUUCUCGUCUCUCUCACUCACCGCCCAACGUCACCGCCGGAAAUUGCCUACGGCGGCGGCCUAGCUCCAAACCACCAAAAAAUAUCACUCUAUACUCCCUCUCCCUCCUCAUUUCUAAUAUAUUACCCAUUUCCCUUAGAACCCUUCAGUUUUUGUUGAAUAGAGGAUUUAGGAAAUACCCAAAACCCUAGUCCGCCCCCUUUCAAUUUUUCACUAGUUUCAACACUCGAUUUGACCUGGGACUUGCGUUGAUCGAUUGUUCUCAACGAGAAUAAUCGAUUAACAUUAGUUUCGGUUCAUUUCAAAGAUGUCGAAAUCCGGUCAAACAACCGUUGACCGGUCAUUUGCUCCCCAAUCGUUCUGAUGUUGUUUCUCCAGCGGGUCAAGGAUCGUUUCUGUCGCUUACUUUGAGCUUAAUAGGUAUACUCCUUUUUCUUCUCCCUUUUCUAUUGUUUUCAGCUUUUUGGCUCCUCAUUCAUCUUUGAAUUUGGUCCGUCAAUUAAGUCCAGUCAUGCAGAAUGAGGUUCUAGAUGAAUUAAGGUUUGCAUAUCGUCUUAAUUGUCAUUUUUCCGUUUUAAUUAGUUGUUGAUUCAUAGUUCACUAAUUGUUGGCUUAACUUUAGUUAAUUGGUAAUUUUGAAUUAGUUAGUAAUUACCUAUGUUGAGUAUUUAUAGGUUUGCAUAAUCAAUUGGACCACUUCCAUGUUUAGUUGUCAAGUUUUGAUUUGUUUGCUAGUUUGAUAGACUUUCGAAUUUGAUGCUGAGUUUGCAUAUGUUCAGUCAUUAAGAGUUUUGAUUUUAUUUUUAAUAGUUUAAUUGUUGUCUAAAUAUUAGUUUAAAUUAUUGGUUCAAUGCAGAAAUCCUGUUUCAUAAUUAGGGUAAGUGGUUUUAAACUGUUAAGGAGUUAAGAGAAAGAAAAGAAGGAAAGAGUAAAUAACAUGGGCCUAAGGGGAUAUGUUGGGAAUUGACUAAAGGAAUAUUUUUUCUGUAGCUGUUUUAGAAGAUUCUAUAAGAUAGAAUAAGGGUCAUUUUACAAUUAAAAAAUGAAAGGGGUUGGGCAUUUGGGGCUGAGAGAGUAAUACAAAAAUAGAAAAGGGACUGAAAAAGAAAAGAAAUAACAGAAGGCACAACUAGAAAAUCUGUUAUAAAAGAUGCCCUCCCUACACACUACUCAUGGACUCUCAUAAACUCUCACCCUUCACCCAUGCAAUACUUCCCUGAAAGAAAAGCUGAGAACAAAAUUCUGAAAUUCAGAAUUGAAUUCUCGAUCUUGAAAUCCAAAACUUCCAAAACCGUAAAAAAAAAAAACAAAAGAGUUUAGAAGUUGUUUCUAAGAUUUUGCUGGUUCUCUUCAAUAACUUCUGGUUUCUCAAGUUAAUUUUGGACUGGAAAUUGAGGUUUACUAUGUGGUCUACUGCUUAUUAGUUGCUAUUUGUUGCUGCUUAUCAAUCUGUAGCUGAGCUUUUAGUUCUGGUUUUUAUUUCUUCUCCAGAAAUAAGAGAUCUAUUUUCUUUUGUGUGUUUUGCUGUUAACCAGGUAUCCUCUGAUCAAAUGUCCUAAACCUUAUUUGUUUGAAUGAGAAUAGUAUAAAUUUGUUCAUGUUUUGUUAGUUUCAUUGCUGCCAAAUUGAUUGAUAUUCCCUAUGUUACAUCAUGUUCUAUCGAUAAGUGUAAAUGUUAUUCCGUGAGAAUUGUUGUUGUAAUUUCUGUGGUUGUCAACAGUUUAAUGUGUUAAUAUACUGAAAUGAGAUCAUUGUUGCAUAAACGAUCAUUUUACUCUCUGCCUGGAAUAAAAAAAUCUUGCUGUUUAUUGGUGAUGAAGGAAGUUGUUGGCACUGACUACACGACUGUAAUUUGCAGACCUGACCACUAAUUGGUCAGGUCAGUGAAUUUUGACGCCAAAGAGUGGGAUGGAGGUUCAAGCUGAAAGCAAAAUAUAUUUUGCUUUAGGCUCAAUAUUAUCCUAACUGAUUUAUGCAUGUAUUAGAAAGCUUUAUGCCAUGUUAUCAUUAUUGAGAAUUGUAAUUGAAAUGACCACUACUGUAAACACCAGAAUCUGGUAGUCUCGAGGUUUGAAUGCCAGCUUUGCUAUUUGAUAUUCGUAUAAUUGACUUUUCUGCUCAUAUGCAAAUCUGAAUUUAGUUUAAAGUAUUAAUCUGCAC